rnacentral:rRNA from 1 species
AGUGAACGCUGGCGGCAGGCCUAACACAUGCAAGUCGAGCGGCAGCGCGGGGGCAACCCUGGCGGCGCGCGGCGGACGGGUGAGGAAUUCGUCCGUAUCUGCCUUUUUGUUGGGGAUAACGUAGGGAAACUUACGCUAAUACCGCAUACGUCCUACGGGAGAAAGUGGGGGACCGCAAGGCCUCACGCAUAUAGAUGAGCCGACGACCGAUUAGCUAGUUGGUGUGGUAAAGGCCCACCAAGGCGACGAUCGGUAGCUGGUCUGAGAGGAUGAUCAGCCACACUGGGACUGAGACACGGCCCAGACUCCUACGGGAGGCAGCAGUGGGGAAUAUUGGACAAUGGGCGCAAGCCUGAUCCAGCCAUGCCGCGUGUGUGAAGAAGGCCUUCGGGUUGUAAAGCACUUUUGUCCGGAAAGAAAUCCUUGGAGCUAAUACCUUCGGGGGAUGACGGUACCGGAAGAAUAAGCACCGGCUAACUUCGUG